GUAGGGUGCAAGCGUUAAUCGGAAUUACUGGGGCGUAAAGCGUGCGCAGGCGGUUAUGUAAGACAGUUGUGAAAUCCCCGGGGCUCAACCUGGGGAACUGCAUCUGUGACUGCAUAGCUAGAGUACGGUAGAGGGGGAUGGAAUUCCGCGUGUAGCAGUGAAAUGCGUAGAUAUGCGGAGGAACACCGAUGGCGAAGGCAAUCCCCUGGACCUGUACUGACGCUCAUGCACGAAAGCGUGGGGAGCAAACAGGAUUAGAUACCCUGGUAGUCCACGCCCUAAACGAUGUCAACUGGUUGUUGGGAACUCACUCUCUCAGUAACGAAGCUAACGCGUGAAGUUGACCGCCUGGGGAGUACGGCCGCAAGGUUG
rnacentral:rRNA from 1 species